rnacentral:rRNA from 1 species
CUAUACAUGACUCUGCGCAUAUCAAUAAGCGGAGGAAAAGAAACUAACUAGGAUUCCCUUAGUAACGGCGAGUGAAGCGGGAAGAGCUCAAAUUUGAAAUCUUCAAGGUUUUACCUUGACGAAUUGUAGUUUAAAGAAGUGUUUUCUGUUAGAGAGUUUGGUGAAAGUUCUUUGGAAUAGGACAUCAUAGAGGGUGAGAAUCCCGUAUUUGAUCACUUUCUACUAACGUUGUGAUACACUUUCAAAGAGUCGGAUUGUUUGGGAAUGCAGUCCAAAAUGGGUGGUAAAUUUCAUCUAAAGCUAAAUAUUGGCGAGAGACCGAUAGCGAACAAGUACCGUGAGGGAAAGAUGAAAAGAACUUUGAAAAGAGAGUUAAACAGUACGUGAAAUUGUCAAAAGGGAAGCGUUUGACACCAGUGUUGUUUUUCCGAAAAUCAAUUACGAAUGUCCGAUUUUGAGAGUUCAUGACCUUAAUAGGCUUGUUCCUUAUUUUACUUGUAACUUUCUUAAUGCACUUUUCGGUUAACAAGUCAACAUCAAUUUCUUUUGUUGUAAAAGGGUAUGAGGAAGGUGGCUUUACUUUCGGAGUAAAGUGUUUAUAGCCUUGUAACUCUGCAAUCGGAGAGAUUGAGGUCUGCAGCGUAGAUCCUUCGGGGCUAGAUACAUUUGUGCUAAGUUAUAGCUUUUCAUAGACAACUUGUUGACUAUGUUUAGUCUUGUAGCUUACUCGCUAUGCCUAUUUUACCUACGCUUAGGAUGUUGACACACGCGCGUGCUCG